GAUUAAAUUUACAUUAGACAAGACUCAACAAGAGCCCUCUGUUGGAAGGUUUAGAUUUACGGCCUGUACACAUGCUUGGUAGUGCCCUGCUCUCAGAGCUGAAGUGCCCACCAGGGCAAUGAUGGUAUAUAGGCAAGUAUAUACCACGACAGCAAGAAACACUGGUAGAAUCAUAAAAUAUUUUUAGGCUGGAAGGGACCUCUGAAGGUGAUCUGGUCCAGUUUGCUCCUCCCUUAACAAGGCAGGGCUAACUCAUAUCAGGCCACCAGGGCCUUGUCUGCUUGAGUUUUGAGUAUUUCCAAGGAUGGCUAUUCCCCACCACCUCUGGGCUUCUGCUGACAUGUUUGAUUACUCUCAUUGUGAUUUAUCUUUUUUUUUUUCCCUAAUAUGUAAUUGAAAUUUCCCUUCUUGUAACUUGCGUUUGUUCCCUCUUGUCCUAUCCCUGCUCACCUCCAAGAAAGGUAGUAUUAAUCCUAUUUGCAGUGUCAGCUUUAUUUGGUGCCGUUACCAGCACAAAACAUUCUGGUCUUAUUGUAAGACCACUUUGAACGUUGUCUGUUUUGAACAGCAUGCAGAGAUUACCAGGAAUUUAACCACUGGCACUGAAUUGGACUUUAUCAGUACAACUGAAAUAGUCCACAGCUGUUUCUGUGUGCGUAUGCCGUAAGGACUGCAGAAGCAACACCACUGAUACUGUGUAGUUUUACACGGUAUCUUUAACAGUAUCUUUAUCUUCAAACAUAAAAUAAAUCUAGCCUGCUACGGAAGUCUAAUUCUGUAAUCAAUUUCUGAGAAAGUAAGUAGUAGUACCUCAACAUGAUUACUGUCACUGUUAUUUGCACUGAGGAAUACCUUUAUUUGUCAGUAGAGGACCUCUGGAAUUGGUAACCUGAUCAGUACUGCUGUUUGAGAUGUCUGGGUCUGCAUUUGAAUCCAAGUUUUCUCUGUAAACAAACCUAUUUCAAUGCGCAGUGUGCCAUAGUGAGGUACAGGUGGGCUGUAGGCAAUUCCUGGAACAUAGCAGCAGUACGGGAGUGUUUGCUUGAGCUCACACACAUGGACUAUCCUUCAGUCUUUGCCAGCAAUUGAUGUUAAAAGCAGCGAGUACAGGACUGGUGGGAGUCCAUACUGCAAGAUCCACACUGAGGCAGUAUAAUGUGGAGUUCUUUGCCUUCGUGGUUACCUCCUGCUACGCUGGAAAUACGUAUUUUAGCUUUAUAUCUUGGCAAUCACGAACUUUGCAGUAAAUAUUUUGUUAAAAUGAAUUCUGUAGUAUAAAAUAUCUUGAGGAUUAUACUCUCUUGAAAAAAGCUUGGAAGAGGGAUGAAGUCUUUUUGAACAUUUCUGUUAGAAUGGACAUGGUGUAUUUUAAGAUGAGAUUAAAAUGAUUAUUUAUAAGACAAUGUCAUCUUGAGAGACAUCUAACACGGGCUUUGUACUGUAUAAUAAAAUGUCAUACUGCUUCUUUUAAAAUUAACAUUGUAUUUUUCUAGACAUGUAUAGAUGUUAUUACUAAACCUUUAAUAAAUCUUACUCAAUGUGCCAAUUUUGUAAAUGUAACUUUUUACAUGUUACAGGUUUACUUCUGAAUGCGACAAAUCAAAACUAAGAUUGAUACUGUCUCAUUAUGUAUAAAAAGUGACAUUGUGCAGA